rnacentral:rRNA from 1 species
AACGAACGCUGGCGGCAUGCCUAACACAUGCAAGUCGAACGAGACCUUCGGGUCUAGUGGCGCACGGGUGCGUAACGCGUGGGAAUCUGCCCUUGGGUUCGGGAUAACAGUUGGAAACGACUGCUAAUACCGGAUGAUGACUUCGGUCCAAAGAUUUAUCGCCCAGGGAUGAGCCCGCGUCGGAUUAGCUAGUUGGUGAGGUAAAGGCUCACCAAGGCGACGAUCCGUAGCUGGUCUGAGAGGAUGAUCAGCCACACUGGGACUGAGACACGGCCCAGACUCCUACGGGAGGCAGCAGUGGGGAAUAUUGGACAAUGGGCGAAAGCCUGAUCCAGCAAUGCCGCGUGAGUGAUGAAGGCCUUAGGGUUGUAAAGCUCUUUUACCCGGGAAGAUAAUGACUGUACCGGGAGAAUAAGCCCCGGCUAACUACGUGCCAGCAGCCGCAGUAACAC